CGUCCAGACUCCUACGGGAGGCAGCAGUGAGGAAUAUUGGUCAAUGGGCUUACGCCUGAACCAGCCAAGUCGCGUGAGGGAAGACUGCCCUAUGGGUUGUAAACCUCUUUUGUCAGGGAGCAAUUGGCGCUACGUGUAGCGUUAUCGAGAGUACCUGAAGAAAAAGCAUCGGCUAACUCCGUGCCAGCAGCCGCGGUAAUACGGAGGAUGCGAGCGUUAUCCGGAUUUAUUGGGUUUAAAGGGUGCGCAGGCGGCCUGUUAAGUCAGCGGUAAAAGCCGGGGGCUCACCCCCGGCGAGCCGUUGAAACUGGCGGGCUGGAGUUGGAGAGAAGUACGCGGAAUGCGCGGUGUAGCGGUGAAAUGCUUAGAUAUCGCGCAGAACCCCGAUUGCGAAGGCAGCGUACCGGCUCCACACUGACGCUGAGGCACGAAAGCGUGGGUAUUGAACAGGAUUAGAUACCCCUGUACUA
rnacentral:rRNA from 1 species